AGAUAAUAGAUACCCCGGUAGUCCACGCCGUAAACGAUGAAUACUAGGUGUAGGGGUUGUCAUGACCUCUGUGCCGCCGCUAAACGCAUUAAGUAUUCCGCCUGGGGAGUACGGUCGCAAGAUUAAAACUCAAAGGAAUUGACGGGGGCCCGCACAAGCAGCGGAGCAUGUGGUUUAAUUCGAAGCAACGCGAAGAACCUUACCUAGACUUGACAUCUCCUGAAUUACUCUGUAAUGGAGGAAGCCACUUCGGUGGCAGGAAGACAGGUGGUGCAUGGUUGUCGUCAGCUCGUGUCGUGAGAUGUUGGGUUAGGUCCCGCAACGAGCGCAACCCUUAUUGUUAGUUGCUACCAUUUAGUUGAGCACUCUAGCGAGACUGCCCGGGUUAACCGGGAGGAAGGUGGGGAUGACGUCAAAUCAUCAUGCCCCUUAUGUCUAGGGCUACACACGUGCUACAAUGGUCGGUACAAUGAGAUGCAACCUCGCGAGAGUGAGCAAAACUAUAAAACCGAUCUCAGUUCGGAUUGUAGGCU
rnacentral:rRNA from 1 species